UUUUUAUUUCAUUUUACUUUCAGCGAUGAUGACUUAAAUUUCAUACCACGCGAUAAUUGGACACGCAUGAGUCUGAGACGUACGCCCACCAAAAACCCGGACAGUUUAGCCAACCGUCGCUGGGGAUCAAUGAGACAUUCCGGCCGACGGCAGUUGGGUUCCAAUGCCCUAGCCACUCAACUGUACAGAUCAUCAAGUUUCAACUCAUCGGGACGUAGCUCCAAUUGUGAUACCACAGACGAAAUGUAUGACUGCAGUCUGGACAAUGUACAGGAUAUUAAUUAUAAGGUG